rnacentral:ribozyme from 1 species
GCUGCUCUAAUAAUCACACACCUCUUCGUGGUGAGCAGCAGGCAACAAUUUGAGAAUCAAAGAUUCGAUGAUUGGCGAAGAUGUGAGA